GACACCGUCGUCACACGAAACGGACGGUCACGCUCCCGACCUCCUCCUUGCCCCGUCUCUCGUUACUCGCCACGUGUCCUGAAACGUCGCGUGCCCGCGGCGACAUCGCUUUCUCCCCGACCGAGCGUCGUGAUCCGCCCCCGAGCAUUCGGUUACAUCUGACGGAAAUCGUCGCCCCCUGGCUUCUACACGUGGCGCUUCUCAUUCCCGGAGAGAGGGCGCCAAAACCUCCUCUGCCUCUGCUCUCACAUCUCUUGUUGCUCAUUUGAACCCUCUCGAUUUCUUUCUCUUGUCUCUGCCCUUUUUCUCUCUGGAGCCGAUCUCGGUCGCUAAUGGCUGUCGUUGUUUCCGAAGGGAAGCUCUCAGAGCUCCGCUCUGUGGUUGCUGGUCUCGAUCAGAUCAGUGAAGCGAUUCUUGGCAUGGGAUUUUUUUUUUUUUCCCGUUCUUGAUCCGUUUUUCGUGCCGGAAUGCAUUUUUGGGCAGGAAGAUCUCGGAUCUGAUACGGGUUCUUGAUCAUAUCUUGUUCUUGGUAGUGAAAACGAGAAAUCUGGGUUCAUCAAUCUCGACUCUCGCUAUUUGAGUGGAGAGGCGCCGCAGAUCGAGAGGAGUAAGAUCCAGACUCCCAACUGAUGAGGUUGUUGUGCCUUAUGAGACCCUAGCGCCACCUCCUGAAGCAACUAAGAAACUUCUUGACAAGCUGGUUGUGUUGAAGCUUAACGGUGGUCUGGGGACGACAAUGGGCUGUACAGGUCCCAAGUGAUUGAAAUAUCAAUCUCUGCAGAGUCUCUGAACAGGAAAUAUGGUUGCAAUGUCUCUCUUCUUUUAAUGAACUCAUUCAAUAAUCAUGAAGAUACAUUAAAGGUGAGUGUUCUAUACUUUCUGUUUACUAGACAUUCAAAUUGACUUGGCAGUACUAUGACUGACUAACCAUCUGGAAAUUCUUAUGGAUAGACCGUGGAGAAAUAUUCCAAUUCAAACAUUGAAAUUCAUACCUUCAAUCAGAUUGGAGAAUCGAACAUUUAAAAAAUUAAUCUAUAUCCUUAAGUCAUUCUGGAAAGGCAUAGUGACUAAAGAAAUUUUAAGAGGUUUUUUGAGGUUAAAUGGAAGAUUGUAUUAUUUAUUCCAUAUUGAUCUGAUGUCACGCCUCUGACUCGAGAUCGCAAGCCGAGAGUUGCGGCAACCACGGCAUAUUCAUAGGAAACUCUUCCCAUAAGCAUGCAAGACAUUUCAACAUGAUAUCAUAAAUAUGCAAUAAAACAAUUUAACUAAUAAUAUGCAAUAUUUUUUUCAUUAACCAACUCAGCUUACAAUAUCUCACAAUUCUAAUAUUAGUCUAAGGUAAUACACAAUUUAAAUAAACUCUAAUCUAAAAUAACUUGUACCACAGUUCUUCUAAUCGCUCUUCUAUAUUGAAUAACCUUAGUAGGCUAUUUCUCUGUAUCUAUAAAAAAAAAGAAAUUGUAUAAUAAGCUAGAUAGCCCAGUAAGCAAUAAACACUUUAGCUAAAUAAAACAAUCAAUAAAACAAUAAUAAUAUACUGAAAUUAAGCAUGCAAAUUAAAUCGAUUCAAAGCCAAAUCGAUAUGCUAUCCAGUCACUUUAAAUUUCAAAUCUUGUUUCAUAAAUCAAGUAUCUUUCAAAUCAUCAAGUUCAUUUCGACAACCAUAAGCUAUGACCACAUUUAUACAUUAUGGUUGGGUCAGAAUAUGAGCUCAUCGAAGUGCCAACGAAUAACCCCCCACUGGCUGGGUGUUAAUAUGCCAACAUAUAACCCCAAUUGGCAGAGUUUCGAUAUGCCAACGUAUAACCCCUGUUGGUAGGGUGUCGAUAUGCCAAUGUAUAACACUCGCUGGCAGAGUGUUGAUAUGCCAGUGAAUAACCCCCACUGGCAGGAUGUCGAUAUAUCAGUAAAUAACCUUCCACUAGCAGGGUAUCGAUAUACCAGCGAAUAACCUCCACUAGCAGGGUAUCGAUACAUAGCCUUGCUGCGAGUUCAAAUUCAUUUUGAAGCAAAAACUCGUUUUCUCAUAUUUAGUGUUCUAAAUUGUAAGAUACAUAAAUUCAUACAAUAUCUAAAUCAAUCGAACAUAAUCCAUAUUGAAAUCAAAAGAUACAAUGAAAAAUUAUAUAGUAUUGUAGAAAGAGGCGCAUAUAAUAAUAAAAUACUAUGCAUCAGCUUCAUAAAUUAAGAAUGAUUCAAUUAGAAAAAUCUAUAAUUUGCCAAUAGAUCUAGAGAAAAAAGUACAUUACUUACCUUGCGAACGCAAUCCAACUAACAGAUUCAAUUAAUUCCAAAAUUUCUUCUCAGAGUCUAAUAUCUAAAAAUUAUAUUUUUUAUUAAAAUUUCAUCAUAAUUAUUUUUUAAAAAUAGAAAUCUUAAAUUUCAACAUUCUCAUAGAGCUGACCAAGUAGAAGUGCCCGACAUUUUGGUUGGUCCGGUCAAAGUGAAAUUUAUCGAAUUAUGCUCGGACUAAGGUACAAAUGGUUCAACAAAGAUCGAGACGAUCAAAUCUAAUAGUAUUUAGCAAGGAUCAAGGUUGACCCAGAAUCAUGAAGAGAAGUACCUUGCUGGUCUAUCAUCUCUAGAGAGAGUAGAGAAAAAGUAUAGAGAAUAGAGAGAAUCUUAGUUUGGGUUCAAUCGGAUGUCUGAGUUUGGUUGUCAAUGGAACGGGUCAACCUAUAUCAAUCAAUAUGUCUGUUCAUAAGUCAAGGGAGAGAAACUUUGUAGAGAGAGAUAAGAGAAAAGAAGAGAGGAGAGAGAGAAAGAGAAAGAGGAGAGAAAAAGAAGAGAGAGAUUCUUCUUUUUCACCGAAAGAGGGGGGAGUUCAUCUCACCCUUUCUUUUGCGAUCAGAUCUAAGGGGCAGCCAUGGUGGCCAACCCCGAUAUCGACAGGAGGUGGCAAGGCUGGCUCAACGAACUUCGGCGGCUGAUGGGUUUUGUUGAAACAAAAGUCAAGGAAAACAAGUGUUGUAGGGUUGCUAAGAAAUUCUGGAAGGAUUGUAGCUAUCUUUUCAAUUAUAGUAGCAGCCCGAGAGGUAGAUCUGGAUAGAGUUUCGCUCAUAAAGGAAGAGUAGCGCGCUAGCGCGGCUCGCUUCUCUUUUCGACGCUCCGCUCGCAGCUGUCGAAGUCUGCUGAAAAACGGAAGAGCGUGCUAACGCACUACGGCUUUUCAGCCUCCGUUUGCUGGUUCCGAACUAUCACUGAUCUCUGUAUUCCCGGGAGGGAUAUCAGAUAGAGUCAAAUGGUUGUAUUAAAAAGGAAAUUAGCAAGUUUUUUCUCCAUUUGAGGGAUAUCAAGUUCAGGUUUUUUGGAUACUAAUACCGCUACCAUCAAGGCUAAUUUAGGGCCCUAGACCUGGUGGGGAACAAUUUUAGCUAAAAGAAUCCUAAUCCAUCAGUGACGUAGAUAAAUGGGUCAUUAGAAGGAUCCUUUCAAAACAACUUAAGUAUUAGGUGAUACACAUUUAGAGAUUAUAAAAUGAUAAAAGUCAUGCAGUAAAAAGUUGGAAGACUAGUGCCAGCAUCCUUGCCUCUUCUAGCAUCCCUUAGUGUUGAUCCACCAGCGGCUUCACUCUAAAGCAAAGGCAGGAGCACUAUCAGAAGCAUACCUUCCAUAUCGACAUGUCCUUCCAUUGGAAUAGGAGCUACCCUACUCCCCCCAAAAAAUGCUAAAACGGGGGCGUGACGGCUGCGGUAGGAUCAGCCAGAGAUCAGUUUACUACUUUAAUCUAGUACACACAAAAACUUGGAUUUUUUCCUUUUUUUUUCUUUUCUAUCCAAAUCAAAUUCAAGGUUGGCUAAUAAAAUAGGAGAGAGAGAAAAGGAGAAGAAGAAGACUUAUCUUGGUUCGGCGAGGUGGUCCGGCAACGAAUCGAGAAAGAUUGGAGGUGGAGCUUGGGAUUGGUAGCUCAAACUUGGGUGAAGUCAAAGGAGAAAGAAGAGCAUCUUUAAACAACUGAUCUCAGCCUUAUUCGGCCGGUCUCUGGAUUGCGAUAAACUUUCAAUCUCAUUACGACUGAGGAAGAAGACUCCGGCUCGAGCCGUGCUCCCAUUUGCCCUCAUGUGUGUCACACAUGCAAUUGGCUCAAAUGUGGCAAGGCCGGUCAUGGACUGGGCCCAAUCCACUGGUUUCACAUUUGAUCCACACGAUGAAGGGCCAAUAUCCUUGUCUAGUUGUUGAAGAUUUCAUGCCUUUGCCAUGCAGGAAAGGAUGGCUGAUAUGUUGUGUUUAGCAUUUUUUUCCCCAACAGGAUGAUAUUACCAUGUAUCGGGCAUAAUUCGAAUAACAGCCAUAUGUUGUUUGUGGAAGGAUCUUUUUGAUGAAGAUAAAUACGAUAAAAGGGUUGGUACAAUUAAUAUUACCCGGAUAGAAUUGCGUUGGAUGCCAUCUAAUUUAGUGCUCUUUGCCUGUUGCAGACAUAUAAUAAUAGGAGAUAUAUGGAUUUGCCUAUUUAUGCUGAACUUAAAUAGCUGGACAGUUCUGUAAGCGAACAUUUUAAUCCUGCCAAUUUUCCCAGCUUCUAUUUUAUUUUAUUAGAGUAAGUUAAAGAAAAUUCUGAUUUACCGUUUCGUUUACAAAUUGAAUAGAGUUGCUUGUUUGAAAGCGAGAAGGGUAUUUGUUGGGAGAGGAUGUCACCAUUCCAUUAGCCAUUGGCCUUCGUCUUGCUGCUUAUCAUUUUUUUUUAAUUGGCAUUUACAUAGAUGUUUUAAGUGGCUUGCUCCCAACAAGAAAGCAUUGUUUGUUCGUUUGUGUUUGGAUUGGUCCAAAAGGUGGUGAUACAAAUUAGGACAUAAAAAGGUUAAUCUAUUAGCUGUAUUCUGGAAUGUUAUAUCAAUUUAUUUGUUAGACAUCCACUAA